AAUGAACGCUGGCGGCAGGCCUAACACAUGCAAGUCGAACGGAUCCUUCGGGAUUAGUGGCGGACGGGUGAGUAACGCGUGGGAACAUACCCUUUGGUACGGAAUAGCCUCGGGAAACUGGGAGUAAUACCGUAUGUGGUCGAGAGACGAAAGAUUUAUCGCCAAAGGAUUGGCCCGCGUUGGAUUAGGUAGUUGGUGGGGUAAUGGCCUACCAAGCCGACGAUCCAUAGCUGGUUUGAGAGGAUGAUCAGCCACACUGGGACUGAGACACGGCCCAGACUCCUACGGGAGGCAGCAGUGGGGAAUCGUAGACAAUGGGGGAAACCCUGAUCUAGCCAUGCCGCGUGAUCGAUGAAGGCCUUAGGGUUGUAAAGAUCUUUCAGGUGGGAAGAUAAUGACUGUACCAACAGAAGAAGCCCCGGCUAACUCCGUGCCAGCCGCCGCGGUAA
rnacentral:rRNA from 1 species